UCGCCGUCUCUUUCUUCUCUUCAUCAAUCCUCUUAGUUUCCUCGUUGUCGUCAAGAACUCGAGAUCGCCAAGGAGUGGAAGGGUCGUUAGUUCUCUCAGUUUUCUCUUCGUCUCUGGUUUCCGUUGCCGCUCUGGUCAUCCAGGCCUUCAAGGAGCCGGAUCCCGACCGCAAGAACAUCGAGCACAACGACCAGAUGGGACCGAUGCUCUGACUGCACCCUUCUUCUUCUUCAUACUCCACAGAUCCAGAGCCUCUGUCUCUCUCUCUAUCUCUCUUUGUAUCUGUAUAUAUCUAUAGAUCUCUCUCUCUCUCUGAUUCUUAUCGAUAUUGACAGUUUUGUAUUUCGUGAAAACAUAGAUGAAGGUGAGACCUCAAGAACAUCCUUGGCACUGAGAAGAUGGAGCUGCUGGGAUUGUUAAUGAUGGGUCUGAAGUGUUGUGCCAGAUGAAAGGCUCGGUUGGGUCGAGUCCAGGUAUUGCCUGUUAAUUGAAGAUUUUAUCUUUCAUAUUACAUGUUGAAGUUUGUCGAAUUUAACUUGUAGAUUGUGGUUAUCCAAGAAAUUAGACAAAUUCAUUGAUCUGUUUUUUGCAUGUGGAACUGGUAAGUGAGUAGCUUAAUGUUUCACAGUCAAUGGUAAUUCAUGAAAAUGCUGACCGCAGGCUUAGGAAGUUAGUCACUGAACUUUUAUAUGCGUGGUUUAUUAGACAUGAGUUUAAGAGUGGUUCAGCAUGAAAUCCCCCAUCACAAAACUUCAUCUAUGAGCGAGUUGUAUAAUAGAUAUCAACCCCUUAAAGGGGAGCUUAUCUGCCUGAAAGUUGGUCUUUCUUUUUCUUACUUGUUUACCAUAGAAGUGAGAAUACACAAUGUAUUUAUUUUGUUGUGGUACUUCAGUUUUCUGUAUUCAAUGUUCAGUCAAGUUUGUGAUAUCCAAGGAAGGAAAUGUUGCAGAGACUAGUUGAUUUACAUUGUCACCGAUAUUCUUUUUGGCCAGGAGCUGUGGCUGAGAUUACAUGGGAGAGAUUACAAGCACAAAGCACCCGUCUUGGAUAAGAGGGAUUGACUCUUUUUUUGUUUUUUAGGGGACUUUCAAUUAUGUGUAAUGGUUAAUGGUUUGUUUUUUUUUUUUCUUUUUUUUUUUUAAUAUUGAAGAGGCUCCAAUGGCCUUGAUUAUGAAUUUCCUAGUUUCCAGAACAAUUUUAGUAAG